AUUGAACGCUGGCGGAAUGCUUUACACAUGCAAGUCGAGCGGCAGCGCGGCCUUCGGGCUGGCGGCGAGCGGCGAACGGGUGAGUAAUGCAUCGGAACAUGCCCAGUCGUGGGGGAUAACACUUCGAAAGAAGUGCUAAUACCGCGUACGUCCUGAGGGGGAAAGCGGGGGAUCGCAAGACCUCGCGCGAUUGGAGUGGCCGAUGUCAGAUUAGCUAGUUGGUGGGGUAAAGGCCUACCAAGGCGACGAUCUGUAGCUGGUCUGAGAGGAUGAUCAGCCACACUGGGACUGAGACACGGCCCAGACUCCUACGGGAGGCAGCAGUGGGGAAUUUUGGACAAUGGGGGCAACCCUGAUCCAGCCAUGCCGCGUGAGUGAAGAAGGCCUUCGGGUUGUAAAGCUCUUUCGGCAGGAACGAAACGGUGGGCUCUAACAUAGUCCGCUAAUGACGGUACCUGAAGAAGAAGCACCGGCUAACUACGUG
rnacentral:rRNA from 1 species